GUUCUUCCAGGUGCUGACAUAUGCAAAGACCCUUCCCUGGUUACAGGAGUAAAUACAAUUAGUGCAGCACAUUAUGCACUGCCUUCCUAUUUGUCGGUGCAUUCACCUCAGUGCAAGCAACACAAUGCCUGAGUGCCACUUACGUGCUACUGCCAACUCCAGCUGCCCCACGUACCCGAGUCAGACUUGAGGAGGCAUGCCUUAAAGAGCACAAGCACUGUGAGUAAAGGGCCAAUUGCAGAGAGUGAGACCAAAGCACGGCUGGGAUUCCUGGAUUCAGUCUGCCUCCUGUGCCACAGGUGAUGUGCCCUCUGGUGAGAUGCAGUGUGGAAUGAUCCCAUGAUGUAGGUGAGGAUUUCGGAGGGGGUCUCCAGGGAACAGACAGUGACAUUGUUCUGUCUCAGCCUGCCCAGGAGCCGUUCCGCUGCACAGGUGGAAGCAUUUUGAAAGAGCAGAAGAUCCAAAAGACUGUGAUGAAAACUUGAAGGAACAUAAAUCUCUUUCCAGACUGCUCAUGAGCAGAACAGUAAAAGAUGUAUGUUGCAAAGGUAAUUCAAUGCAUGUCUCAAUUCCAGGGAAAAAGGUGCUCAAAGAUAAACUAUUCCUUAAAACCUCAACUAAGAGUUUCUAGAAUCAAAAAUAUUUUCGAAGAUUUUAGUGUAGUUGGAUGGGCAGCUUGUUCCAACCACCAGGAUGCUUUUAUGUGCAUUCAUGAAUAAAACCCACUUCCUCCAACCCUGCGACAACAGAGCAAUAAACAGGAACAUCUCUCCAGGGCCCUGCGUGGUCUGAGUCUGAAGCAGCGUUACUCAACCUGAGAGCCAGACAGCAGCAAGGCCAAACAACACAAAGAGAAGGAGAAAUGGAGGGAGAAGGAAAAAAAAAAAAAAGAUAAAAUGCAUAGCGUUGGGCUUGAUGUUCCUUCAAUGGGAGUAUGAACUUUAUGGCUUUGCUGCACAAAACUGUUGGUGUUGUUCAAAGAGAAUAGGUGACCAGUGGACAAAGAUGCCCUUACCAACAGCUGUUAAUCAGCAACUCACAAGACUAGGAACAGCCACAUGAGACUUACACAAAAGAAGAUCAGCCUGAAGUACAACCUGAAUCCACUGAUCCCAUUUCUGCUCUGUAUUUAACAGUACCAUUAUGGAGUACAUAAUUCAAUGUCUUCUGAAGCCAUGAGAAAUGUUUUCUACCUACGUGCUAAGACCAAUGGUGGUUGUAGAUCAAUCCCGAAGGACCAAAUCUAAACCAUUUACUUUGACUAGCCUACAGCAGGCCUGGACAAGAUUUUAGUAAUACAGUGCUUUAUAACAGUAAUUCUGUCUAAUGAAGAAGAGUCAUGAUGAAACUGCUUCAUGCUCUUAAAAUAUUCUCCAUUAUAUUACUCAUGCUCUUUGAAAUAUCUAUUAAUUUUUUCUUCUCCUCUUUUGAAUGUUUGACAGUGCAGUCACAGGCUGUUCCUUCUGUAGUGGAAAUUAAGAGACAGACCAGGUCUAUCCCUCAAGAGCCAGCAAUUGAACUACACCUGAAGUAAGAACAGCUGGAGUGGAAGGCAUCAGUCAUGCCAGAAGCCAUGCUGUGGGACAUCUGGUACCAAUGCACACAGCUAGAGGAUAGAAAAGCCAGGGGGAUUAUGCAUUGUCUCCUUUUUCUUCCUCUCCUCUCCUCUCCUCUCCUCUCCUCUCCUCUCCUCUCCUCUCCUCUCCUCUCCUCUCCUCUCCUCUCCUCUCCUCUCCUCUCCUCUCCUCUCCUCUCCUCUCCUCUCCUCUCCUCUCCUCUCCUCUCCUCUCCUCUCCUCUCCUCUCCUCUCCUCUCCUCUAUUUCAUUCUGCAGAGCACAUGUAGCAUCAUAAACAAAGCAAGAAAAAAAAAAAUGAAGUGCUGGUAAACAAGACUCCAGAUGGAAACCCCAUCUCAAAAACUGAGUUUGAGAGGAGAUCAAUGGUCUGUCUCUCAAAACUGAAGAGGGGAAUGAACAGCUAAGGACCCAGUAUCCUCCACCCCAGCUCUCCUGCCUGCAGCAAUUCUAAGGCAAGGUGAAUACUUUCCCCACAGGGAGUUGUCAGUAUGAUGGCAUCAUAGGAAACAGCCACGACUUUCUGUAGGGCAGAGCUGUGCAGCCUUCAGAGAUAUUCUGAGAUGCUCUUGGCCUGAGACGGAACUUGUUGUGGGGAAUCACAGAAGGAAGGAGUUUCAGAGAAUCAUAGAAUCACUGAAUCAUAGAACCAUAGAAUUGUUAAGGUUGGAAAAGACCUUUAAGAUCAACUUGUUCAAUCUGUGAAUGUCAGAAGGCAGAUGGGGGUAGAUGCCACAGUACAUUUGCUGCAGUACCUAACUCAGAAACCUCUUUGGUGCUUGUUUGCUGAAAGCUGGAAGAACAUUUGAGUGUAAGGAUGACUCUGUUCUGGUCUAUAUCUGAUAUGCUCUCCGUAAGUAUUUCCUACGUGGCAGAAAAUAAUUACCAGAGUAAGUGAGCUUCCAGCCAGAUAUGAGGAACCUAAUAAAUUGUGAUGACUGUAGGAAGUAGCAGGGGAUGGCAAGAAGGUAACCAGUCCCCCUCUGACUCGCAAGGCAGAUCAGCUUGUUUCUGUACCACUUUCCCAGGGACCCUCGAUACCUCUCUUUCAUGAAAGAGGACAGCUCCCCAAAUAACCCCCUCAACAUCUCACACCCAUCCCUCGACAGGAAUUAGCCUCCUUUCUUUGCACAGUAAAAAUUGAUUCAGGUCUGUGUUAUCUUGCAUCUUGAAAACAGCCUCCUUUCCUUUGCCUUUGGCCACAUCUGCCUUAAUGCAGCUGGACCAUCUAGGUCAAUUAUCCCUAGUGGGAUCUCCAUUGUGAUUUCUUUUGACCAUCAUUUUACUGCAGUAUUGAACACAACCUUGUCUUUGUCCUAAAGGCCCAUCGUGGCUUAGUCACCUACUCAUUUUUCCUAGCAAACCUGUCUUCUAUUAUCACCUUCAUGCACUUCCUUGAUUGGAUAGUCAUUAACUUCCUCUACGGGUAGAGAGGUUUUCUCAAAACUCAUAUCAACUGCAAGAUGAAAUGGGAUAUAUUUGAACAACAAUUAUCCCAGUCUUUCCUUAAAAUGUCUUAUAUAAUCCUGUAGAACUUGUCAUUGCCACUGAUGCUUCUGUGUCAUGCUGUCUGCUGAGAGCCCUGUUAAAUAUUUACUGUUAUUCUUGCAGGUGAACAUCUCUCCUGAUACCUCCUGCAUUUCACUCACCUAUUAGUCUUGCCUGCUUACAGUAGAACAUCUCCCCCUUCCAACAGGUCCACAAGCAACAGAAACGUCAGCGUCUCAUGCUGUCAAAGGUUGCACAACGGUAAAAGUCAUGCCACUGUACACUGUUUUAAACCACAUGCUUUUUACAGUGUAUCUACACAGAUCUUUGAACAAGAGUGGGUCAUCUAGGUAUCCCUGCUAUCCAGGCAACAGCAUACAUGCAGCACCAGAAGAAGCCAACUCCAAGGCUGUAUGGGAAAGGAAUGGGUAGUAUCAGGGCCUCAAUCCAGCAGGUUCUGCUUUUCUCUCUCUCAGUUCUGCUAGUUGCCCUGUAAGUGAUGCUAAGGGCUAUCCUUUCUCAUCCAAGAACAGCUUACAGCCAUUUGGGAAAAACUUCUAUCAGCAGCUCUAUCCUCUGUCUGGUUUUCCUAAAGAAGAUACAGACGCCUUGGACUGGAUUAUCACAGCAGUGCAGGUGGGCAUGUUUUUCUGCCUAAACUUUACUGGCCCAUUGAAAGCUGCUCUGUGAUGAACCUAUACUGUUGGUGUGAAAAGCAAGGACUGCUCACACGGUGUGUCUCUGGGAACGUAGAAACCAGCAAGAAUUGUGGCUCCACUGCUCUGGUUCCCUGUGGAGCUGCUGGAGAGGCUCACUGCUCAGAUCUGGUUGUUGUUGGCCAUUGAGUGCCCCUACGUGGGAAAGCGGUGCUUCGAUAUUGUGGAAACUGCCUGUGGGAAGGUGUCGAUUCUCACAGCAUUUCGGAGAAGGCACAAGGCUUUCCAGCUUAUUGAAACGUUUGUUUUGACUUUUAUAAUAUAGUACAAAAGCCUUCAAGUUUUGUCUAUUAAAUUGCUGUGCCAAAAUAUUAUGACGGGUCACGGAAUAAUAGUCUUACUGUUUUGACUCUAAAGCGUGCUACGACAUGGGUCAAGCUGAUGAAAUCAAAAUGAAAUUACUGUUUUGUUUUGACAAGAUUGUGUUUCUUUUCCAUUUGUUUGAUAAAGUCAAAGCAAAGAUCUCCGUUGGAUUUUUCCGCAGUAUGGCCUCAACGUUUCAUUUUCUCAUUCAGGUGUGGGUUUUGAAUGGAACAUAAUGUUUUGUGCCCAGAUCAUAGAGGGAAAGAUGCAUGUGGGUAGCACCUCAGAGUCACAGUUCAGCCCCGAUUUUCUGAGGACUGUACCCAUUGCUUCGUCAGCUUUAGCAAAGAGAUCUUUGUGAAAGUUCAAUCUUGGCCUGCGGUGCUAGUGUCAUACUUUGAGCUAUGCCACCUUCUGCUGUUGUAGUUCCCAGUCACCGUCCCCUUCUGUUUAGCCACCUGGAACCCACUCCAGAAGCUGGCUGAGAAGAAGUAGCUCCUGAAAACUCAUCCUUUGUGACCUGCUGAGUCAGGAAGCCUCUAAAAUAUAGAAUAAAACUGUCCUUAGACCAUAGAGCCCAAUGGUACAGAUGUGCGGCAGCCAGUCUUGUCCAUCUCUCAUGCAUGUGGCAUCCCUGAAUCUAUUCCCAAACCUUGCCGCUCCCCUGUGAUGUUAGGAGAGUGCCCGUUCCUGCUUUCCCCUCCCAAGCUCUGUCUGGUUGGACUGGGGUGUUUCCCGGGCUGAAACUGUGGCUUGCCUUUAUUGUGUGCAAAGUACCUGGAGCAUGAUGGAGAUCUCACACUCUGCUUCUGGUGACAGGUAAUGUAUCCUUUCUAUUGUGCGCUUUUCUACUCUGAACAUUGCCUUUCAUGGUAAUAUACUUAUAUCCUUUGUUUGUUCUGUCUCUUUCUUUUUUUUUUUUCCCCACGGAUUUCCCUUUGUUUGCCUGGUUUUGCUCUGAUGCGCAGGUAUUUAUCUAAGUGGGGUCUGCUGUGUUUGUACCAGCCCAGGUGGCAUGUAAGAUGCAAACAUCAGACACCUCUUUACACAUCUCCAGGUUUCCUGGUUGAUUGAUUGAUUAAUAGCUUUCUCCCUUAUCAGCUUGUCUUUCUCAUAACUGGGGGUCAGCCUGCACGGACUAACACCUUUGGUGAGGCCCUGUUUCCUAUAUACAUCAGCUUCACUGACUUCUUAUUAUCUCAGCCCUAUCUGAACCUUUGUUCAAUUCAAGAGGUAAUUAAACUUGAAGCCAAAGCAAAUGUCAGGGUGAUAAUGAGACAGAUAAGAUUAAAAAUUCUUUCUUUUUUUUUUUUUUUUUAAAGACCUGACACAUACCUGAAGUGCCCGUUGGCCCGCAGCCAGUGGAAAGUUCCCUUUCUCACCUGGAUGCAGUCAGAGCGGUGGCCAUGUAAAAAAUGGCACCACCUCCCGCCAGGUGUGAGCGGCCGAGAACAGCACCUACCUGGCAAAGCAUUCGAGCGUGGAGACAUUUUCCCAAUGAUCUACGUCAACAGAUGACUGAAGGCUUGGUCUUAUAUCCCUGCACUGAGCUGGGCAGUGAGGCUCUUCCUGGACUAUGGCCUUGGACCUGCUUUUAGAACAGCCUCAGGACCCACCUUACUCAGUGCUAAAGGAUUCCCGUUCUGGCUCAGGCCUGAAGGCAAAUGGUUGAAGACAGUGUUAUCUUGCCAAUUUUUUUUUUCUUUUGUUAUUUUCUCCAAUAACGAGAAACUUGUGGGGGAGGUUUUCUUUCUUUUCCAUUCCAUGGGAGUUUGGUAACUAGUCAAACUGCUAGGUCAGCAACAAUAUGUGCCAAGCCUAACCAGAAUCAGAGAGAGGCCAAACAUACUUGAAGAGGGAACUGAAGAGGGUGACAUCUGUUUGUGUCUAGGAUCCCCUCUGCCAACCAGAUAGAGGUGACCCUCUUCACCAGUCCCAUGGUUUUGCCAGUUCAUCAUCCUAAUAGAGAUCCGUGCAGAUGUUUUACAAGAAGGAAUGAUUUUCUUCAGAAAUUCCAAUGGGGAGGCUUCAGCUGUGAAGGCCUUUCUGUGCCUCUUAGAUGCCUAUGUUCUUUGUCUAGCAGAUACAGUGAUGAAUCCUGGGGAGAAGUAAACAGAAGAGAUAAAGUCUCUGAAGCCCGGAGCUUAUUUGGCUGGUGUCUGUUUAAAUGCCACACAACAAAGCUUUAUUAGCACAAAGCAGCAAGGUCUGCAUGUGGCCAGAAGUCUCUCCUGCCUGUUGUCUCUGCAUAGUCCAUGUACUCACUCCUUAUCCCUGGUUUAUACAGCUGGUCCGAAGACCACCCCAGGUAACAAAGAAAACAACAGCUCUUGAAAGAUCUGCUGGGAAUAGGAAGAUGUCGUAUUAUUUACCCGGCUGGAUUUAUGCAUGUGUGCAUGUGUUUAACAAGGAGCCCGGUGCCUGCUGGACUCCUGAGGCUGGAAUUUAUACAGGCCAGCAUUUGGCUGCUGCAGUUUAUCUUGAAUGCUAGAAUAAUAAACUCAGCUGACAGGAUGAUGUAUGCAAAGCAUCUUCUCCUCCCACGGCGUGCGGUAGAGGUGUCUGGUUUGCAGGGAGUCCUAUUAUUAAGUGAUUAUCCUUGCAACAUUAUCAAUAUCAGAUUGCUUAAGGGCUUUGGGGGACCAGCAGUACAGUAGGAGUUUAUGUUUAUCCAUCAUAAUGGCAGUCAGAUGCGGAGGGUGCUGUGAGAACGUUACCUGUGUAGGUGAAAUGGACGUAUGGGUUUGCCACAUGGAGAGUCCAAAAUUUUUGCAAAAGAACACAAAGCUACACCUUUAUCGUUGUUAGUUUCAUUACGAGUUAACUUCUGCUGCAUUGUUUUAAUGUCCCUCAUUGUUUCUUCCUUUCUUGUCAGAUUAUUGUCUCUUGUUCAGAAAGAACAAAAACAAAAAGUCCCAAGCGCCACCGAAUAUGGUAUUUUCUUGACUUUUCAGGGAAGGCCAAUUUAUCCACCCCUAAUCACGUUUCAGCAUCCAGACAGCUGCAGACUCCUCCGUGUGAGUCUGCCAGUUCAGCUGGCGCUCUGGUACCUCAAGAAGACCAGGUCUUUGGAUCCUUUGUCAUACCCUGAAAGGAUGCCGAACAGACCAUAGAAUCAUUAAGGUUGGAAAGACCACUGAAUCAUCUAGUCCAACCACUGACCCAUGCCAAUGACCACACUAGACCAUGUCCCUCAGUGCCACAUCUACACUGUUCUUGAACACCUCCACGGACAGUGACUCCACCACCUCCCUGGGCAGCCUGUGCCACUGCCUCACCAUAGGAAACAUCACCUCGCUGUACUGGAUAUGUUUCACCCUGAAUAGCCUUCAAGACCCACAUCUUAAAAGGCAGAUCAAGCACUUCAGAGAACCUUACUGUGGAGGUGACGGGGCAUGGAAGUGGGAGUGGGGCUUCAAAAUGUGACAGAGCUCUUCUCUCUGUUCUGAAGCAAAAUCAGCCACAUCGUUCCUGACAGAAGUAUCUAUUAAUUGGUCCUGAUGACCUGCUGGGAUGGAUA
rnacentral:lncRNA from 1 species